UCUGGACAUGGUGGUGCAUACCUGUAGUACCAUCUACUUGGGAGACUGAGGCAGGAGGAUCACUUGAGCCCAGGAGAUUGAGCCCAGAAAUUUGAGGUCAGCCUGUGUAAUACAGCAAGACCAUGUCUCAA
rnacentral:sRNA from 1 species